CUUGAAUCCAGGAAGCAGAGGUUGCGGUGAGCCGAAAAUGCACCACUGCACUCCAGCAUGGGCAACACAGUGAGACUGUUGUCUCAAAAAAAAUAAAUGAAUAGGCCGCGCUCCCGCCCAGGGAGGAUGCGCCGACGCCCCGAGCGCCCGGCCCUCCGCAGCAGCCCGGCAGACUGCCUCUGUCAUCAGGACCCUCCGUCCACGUCCCCUGUGCGGCCAGCGUCAGAGCCAUGGCGAUGGAGGAGAGGAAGCCCGAGACCGAGGCAACGAGAGCACAGCCGACCCCUUCGUCAUCCACCACUCAGAGCAAGCCUACGCCCGUGAAGCCAAACUAUGCUCUCUAAAGUUCACCCUUGCUGGCCACACCAAAGCAGUGUCCUCCGUGAAAUUCAGCCCGAAUGGAGAGUGGCUGGCAAGUUCAUCUGCUGAUAAACUCAUUAAAAUUUGGGGGACUCAUAUGAUGGGAAAUUUGAGAAAACCGUCUGGUCACAGCCUGGUCGUCAGAUUCUAACCUUUUUGUUUCCGCCUCAGAUGACAAAACCUUGAAGAUACGGGACGUGAGCUCGGGAAAGUGUCUGAAAACCCUGAAGGGACACAGUAAUUAUGUCUUUUGCUGUAACUUCAAUCCCCAGUCCAGCCUUACUGUCUCAGGAUCCUUUGAUGAAAGUGUGAGGAUAUGGGUUGUGAAAACAGGGAAGUGCCACAAGACUGCUAGCUCACUCCGAUCCAGUCUCGGCCAUUCAUUUUAAUCGUGAUGGAUUCUUGAUAGUUUCAAGUAGCUAUGAUGGUCUCUGUCACAUCUGGGACACAGCCUCAGGCCAGUGCCUGAAAACGCUCACUGAUGAUGACAACCCCUGGUGUCUUUCGUGAAGCUCUCCCCGAAGGGUGGAUACAUCGUGGCUGCCACGCUGGGCAACACUCAAGCUCUGGGACUACAGCAAGGGGAAGUGCCUGAAGACAUACACUGGCCACAAGAACGAGAAAUACUGCAUAUUUGCUAAUUUCUCUGUUACUGGCGGGAAGUGGAUUGUGUCUGGCUCGGAGGAUAACCUUCUUUACAUCUGGAAACUUCAGACGAAAGAGAUUGUACAGAAAUUAGAAGGCCACACAGAUGUUGUGACCUCAACAGCUUGUCACCCAACAGAAAACAUCAUCACCUCUGCCGCGCUAGAAAAUGACAAAACAAUUAAACUGUGGAAGAGUGACUGUUAAGUCCCUUUGCUCCCACAUGCGAUAGACCAUCAGGAAGUUGACCCGGAUUGGCAAGAAACAUGAUGUCUCGGAGGCGGUCCCCUGGGUCUGUGCCUGGGGGUCAGGACCGGGCCUGAUUUGAGCCUCCUUUUUGAAGAUGAUUUGGCCGAGUGUGGACCACCGGAAAGUUCUAAAAGUUGCUGGUGACAUUUCUUGCCAAUUCUCUAACACUGUCUAGGGAAGAGUUCCUAGUCUGUUGUGUUCAAACAGAGUCAACAAAAAUUUUUAAUUUUUUGUUACAAAAGGGUGAAGUUCAAUUUUAAAAAUAAAUAAUAAAUAUAAUAAAAAUCUCAUGGAACUUCAAUGUAAAAUAAUUAAAAUGGCAUUUUAUUAGCAGUGUAUGUUAAAGUUUCAGAUUUGUAACAUUUACUCUGUAAAUAAAAAUAGGGAAUAAGUAAAA